UACGAAGGGGGCUAGCGUUGCUCGGAAUUACUGGGCGUAAAGGGCGCGUAGGCGGACAGUUUAGUCAGAGGUGAAAGCCCAGGGCUCAACCUUGGAACUGCCUUUGAUACUGACUGUCUUGAGUUCGGGAGAGGUGAGUGGAAUGCCGAGUGUAGAGGUGAAAUUCGUAGAUAUUCGGCGGAACACCAGUGGCGAAGGCGACUCACUGGCCCGAUACUGACGCUGAGGCGCGAAAGCCAGGGGAGCAAACGGG
rnacentral:rRNA from 1 species